AAUAACGACAGUUUUUAACUUCAAAUAUUAUUUCUAAAAACCUUUAUGUGAUCAUUUCUUAUAAGAAGUUCGAACUAUUAUAUCCAUGUAUAUAAUAUAAUUAUAAUUAUUUAAAUUUAAUACUUUAUAAAUAGUAAAAGGAUUUUGUGAUUACUUAUAAAUAUGCAUGGUGAGCAAACUUUUUAGAAAAUCAUUUUCAAAAAAUGUACUCCAUUAAUAUUUAAUUAAUGUUUCAUGUCUGUUUAGGUGAACUCCCUUACUAUAAUAGUACUUAAAGUUUUUCUAGCUUGUACGAUUAUUCAAAUAACUUGUAAUAUAUUUUUCUGUGUGUAGUUCCCACACUUUUUCUUUUUGGUCCUGACGAAAUUGUCUCCCAUUUAUUUUUCAACUUCGAUUUUUGCCUGUCGCGCUUUGCGUAUUUCCAUUUCUUUAUUUUUAUUUUUUCUUUUUGCAAAUUGACACCCUCACGCACGCACACACACGCAAUGAGAGAGCUUGUUAGAGUGGUUGUUGUAGUUUUCCCCUGUCGAUGUUGCCGCUGCUGCUGUUGUUGUUAUGUCUAUCUGGCUGUCAAGCUGCGGCUGCUGCUGGUUUUCAGCAUUUUCCGCUGGCUGCUGAUGCCCGCGACUCCUUCAGCAGCUUCAUCAAUGCCGGAAGCGUGAAAAUCUACAGCCGAAAGAAAGGGAAAAGUUCACAAAUGGAAAAUUACGGGUGCACACGUGCUCGCACACACACAUGCCACCCCCUGACCCACAACAACAACAGCAACAACGUGAACAAAUAUUUUCCCAACCCCAGGAACUCGGUCUCGUUUGUCAUUUCAGGUUGUUUUAUUCAAUUUCGAGCCAAGCGAAAUUCACCAAAAAAAAAAAAAAAUGAAAGGCAAAAGGGAGAGAUGGUUGCGAAAAAAAACUCUUUGAAAAUUCAACUGAACAAUUCAGCUGAAUGUCAUGCGAUAUGUCACACAUGUAGCCCAACUGCCACGCCCCCUCCUCCCCCAUUUUUUUGGCGAACCGCUGCCUUAUCGGCUGCCAUAUUAAUGUACUGGAAAUUUGCCAUUUUUCCUUCUGCCCAAAAAGUAAAUGCGAUACACCCCGAAAUGGGUUGGGUGAAAAGGAGCUUUUCAUUUAGUUGUCAAUGUUCUUUAAUCUCAUUUAGUGCGAGGAGCAGGAAUAAAAACCAUUAAGCAUGAAUAUCAGUUGAAAUAUAUAUAUUUCUGCAGACAAAUACAGUUAGGAAAAAUACAUACUGUUAAGGAAAGUAAUCAGGGUUAUUAAAACAAGGAGAUUUCUUGCAUUUAACAUCUUAUUAAUACUUACGAUAUUGUAACCAAAUUAAUUUUAAUUAACAAAUUGAUAUUGUCGAGAUUGUUCUUAUCUUAAAAAGUUAGGAUUGUACAAUAAGUUUUAAUUUUUUUUUAAUAUUAAAUUGAUUACGAAUUUCUCAAUAAUAUUAAAGCUGCUAUUAACUUGCUUCUGAAUAUUUUUAUGUAUGCUGACACUUUGGCGAUUUGGCGACUUUUGGCCAUUCAAUGGCAUCGAUGCGUGUCCACAGUCGAUUCUAAUCAGAGAACGCCACUCGGGCAGCAAAAGGCAACAAAAUGGAGAGUCGAGUUUUCAUUCUUUUUGUCGGUUGCGCUCGACUGAAUUUCAUUUGCCAACUGGCAGCCAUGAAAAAGGGUCAGUCUUUGGUCCAUUCGCUGCUGAUCCUUUUGUCAAUUGCCUUGGGUUCUCGAUUUUUGCCGUCGUUCUUUCUCUGACUUUUCAGCUUUCAAGUCGGGCAAUGACUUUUGGGUCUGUGAGAUGGGCAAAUUUGUAGAUUGAAUGACUGCUGAUAUUGUCAUUAUUGGGUAAGUCGAUUGAUUGUCCUUGUCAGUGGAAUUGGGUUUUUUUUACCAUGACUGAUUAUCUGAACUUGGGAUAUUUGAGUAAUUAAAUGAGCAGCGGGGAAGAUAAGGUAACAUAUCUUAUAAGCUAGAUGGAGGGGAACAUAUUCAAAUAUAACAUUUUUAAAUAGAUAGAAUUAAAAAAAUAAUAUCCUAUUUAAUUUGACAGUACUUUGUUUUAUUCGUUUGCUAUUAAACACUUUCCGUUUAGGUUGAAAAACUUUCACAAGUAGUUUUCCCAUUAGCUUAAAUAUGUCCUUGGUGGAUCGUAAAACUGGAAAAAUAAAUGUCAUUUCCUUUGUUUUUUCGCCCAUUUGCGACUGCAACUUCCCGCCCACGUAGCCCAUUAAUUUCUUGUGCCAUUUUAAUUUCGCUUUCGUUUUGGUAGACGCUGCAAGGCCAAAUGCAACAACAUCUAAGGCUGCGUCUGGGGAAGCCCCGUGGAAAUGAGUUCACCGAAGUGGGUGGAAAAGCGGCGAAGGAAAAACUGUUGCAUUAAAAGGCAAGGCAGCCGCUACGUCAUCGCUGUUCACUGCUGCGAAAAUGAGCCAAGUUGGUAGUUAGUCAGCGUUCGCUUUUCCUCGCUGCUGGGCUCCGCUUGUUUCAUUUCAUUUAUUUCAGCCCGUUGCCGGCAGAAUUUGCACAGCUUUUCCACCGCAUCCUCCUCCUGUUCCUCCUCCUCCUUCGUCGGUGGGGCUAUAAUUUCAUUCGCCCAUUAAAAAUUUACUUUGCAACCCACUCGGUAGAGUUUUUCCCGCUGCUCCCGAUGUUGCUGCCGGGUUGGGUGUUGCUGCUGCUGGUGUUGCAAGUUGCCGGUGGCGCGUUGCUGCCGUCGUCCUGCGUUGGCGUCGCCGUUUGUUAGUUUGUUUUUGGGGCCAAAGCCGCAAGAGAGCGCGGCCCACUUUUCUACACCCACCAAAUGAAUGGUAGUGAACAAAGGCACAGAGAAAAAUUUAGCAAAAAAUUUCAUUGGCUUGCGAACCAAAUAAAUUAAUUCAUUUUGUAUUAAAUAUGUACGGAUAUUGUGAGAAAUUUAAAAAAUUAUAAUCGAAUUUCUUCUUAAACUGGAACUUUUGGUUUUUAUAAUAACAAAAUAUCCAAGAAAUAUAUUAUUUUUUCUGAAAUACUUAGUUAAUGCAAAGUAUCUUAACUGCCUAAAAAUUUAUAAGUUUUAUGGUCAAAAUUUCAUUUUUAAAGCUGAAACUCCAUAACAAAGCUGGCUUUUAAAUUACAAGCUAAUUGCAACAUAAUUUGUGUUUAAAAUUUUAUCGCCGUGUGAUAAUGAGUGUUUUCCCAACUAACGCCGACUGCGACGCCGACAGCGCUGCCUCCGUCGACGUUGGUGUGAGGGAGCUGCGCUCAUUUUCAUUUUCAUUUUCGUUGAUGAGAUAAUGGUUUCGGUGUCUCUGUUUUUCCUCUCCCUGGAAAAGCGUGAUGAUGAUGAAGCUGCCGGGAGUGAAUUAUUUUAAAUGUGGGUUUCAAGGUCAAGGUGACGGCGGUUAUUGUUUUGCUUUUCGCGCUGCUGGCGUCGCAGUCACUGGCUCUGCUGCGUUCAUUAAUCGCUGGCAGAGACGCCAGCUUUUCCUCUCAUUUUCUUCAUGAUUAGCAUAAUGAAGAGAUGAAUGAACCGGCGUUGUAAAGCAACUGGUGGUUGUUUUGGCCAGCUUUUAAUUAUUGUUUGUCUUCUUUUUGUUGCGAAUUUUUUCCACCGAAUUUGUUAUUUUGGCGACGAAAAGUGUUGCCUACUUGGAGGCGCCAUUUGCCGGGAAAUUCUCCCAGGGCGCAUUCGAUAAAAUUGCGAAAAUUGCUGAGGGGCAUAAAGGGAAUGGAAGCGUCGAACGUCGACGACGCACAUCAAAAUAUGCAAAUUGGAAUUUCAAAAAUACAGCAAUAUUGCUGAAGCCUUCAGUUUCCACUCCACAUCUCCGACGACUCUGCCACCCCCUUUCCAUAGGCAACCCAACGCCCUGCCACCCCAUCACUCCACCGCCCAGGGCACAUACUUUUGUAUGUGUACUCAGAUAUCUAUCGGACAGUAGUAACUCAUGAAAAGGAAAACCUCAACAGCCAUGCCUUUGAAAGUAUAAUAUCGUUAACAUUAGUAACAAUCAAAUUAUGUUAUGUUAAGUAUAAAUCUCUUACAAGCUUCCUAAAAUUGAAUCAUAAAACUAGCUUUUUAGCGCAGAAAUUAUAAUUUCUUAAAAAUAUUACUUACAUUAUUGCCUUAAAAUUUUUCAAGCAGUUAAGUUAACAAAUUGUUAAAUAAAAUUGGACAUUGUACAAAAAAAUACUUUUGCAAACUAUUUGUAAAGAUCUUAAGUUUACAAAAAUUAUUAAACGUUAUUCUUAUAUGAAGUUUUACUCUUUGAUUUUACUAGCAUUUACUGUACGACGUUAUCUAUAUAGUUAACCCGAUUUUUGGGCGCAUGCAAAUUUGGUUGCCCUGCGGCAGCGACGUCGCUGCCAGCGCCUCAGCCAAAAAAAGAGAGAGACGGAAGAAGGCGAAGAAAAGAGAGAGCAACAGCGGGUGGGUGGGAGUUGAGAGCACGGCUGCCAUUAUUCGCCUUUGGCCUUUCCUCCUUUGCCUUUGCUUUCCGCAGCAGGGGAAAACUCUCAGCCCGACAGCGACGCCGGCAGCGACGUCGGCGCUUCGACCAGUGCGCAUGCGCGCUGCUUUCCGCCACUUUGCAUCCCUUUCGCACUCGCUGGCAGCCAAUUGCAUCCCCCGAGAAGCAGCGCUGUCGCUGUGUUCCGUUUCCCAGGCGUUUGCAGUGGGAAAGCCGGAAAAAUCGUGGUGAGGGGAACGCUUCGGCAUUUGGCACGAGGAAAUUAACGCCGGGUAAUGAAUGAAAAUGAAAAUGAGAAACAAAGACGGGCGAAAAAUUACCCAAAAUGAAGUUUUCCAGCUGCGGAAAGUGCAGCAACUGCGACGCAGACAGCAGCAUCAACAGGAGCUGAAGAGGUCGGAAAAGCCGUAGGAAAAUCGGCAGCAUAUUUAAUGACGUAAUGCGGCGUCGGCGUCGCAGCCUCUGCUUCUGCCAGCAAUUAAGCAACAGUUAAAUUAAACGGGUUUCUAGUUCAAGGACACGACCCAGCGACGACGUGCUGCCACAACAACAAGAACAGUAGCCGGGGAAAAUUGGGUGAGUGGGUGGCUUGUCUGGUGGGUGGGCGGCUGUGGCCGUUGCCCUGUUUUUAAUUGAGUUGCAGAGAUGUUGGGGGAAGGUGGGUGAGAGUUUCGGGUUCAAUUGAGGUUAUCUUCGAGAACUUCUUGGGGAUGGAAAACUCGUUUGACUACCACAACACAAAACAUGGUAUAUGGAACAAUAGAUGUGGAUUUCUGUGAAGGAAUAAUAUGAAGACUGUGAGCUGGGCCCGUCCAACAAUUGCAACAUAAAAAUGUAUAACUUUGUUGCUGCCUGUUGGCUCGUCGUGGAGGACGUUUUACAUAUAUUUUUAUGAGAUAAAAUAGAAAAUUUUGUUAUCAGGCAGCAGCGGCAGAAAAGGAUAUAAAGCAGCGGCACACUCAUACACACACACAGACACAGAUAAACACACAUUCUAACACACACACACAUGGACACAAAGGCCCCACUUGAAAUGCCAGCCACCUCCUCGUUCCCCCUGGAAAACCAUCAACCGCACUGAGUUGCCAGUGCCAACGGAAAAUGUCUUCGGGUUGAGUGCUUUUCCGGGGAAAAUGUAAUUUUCUCAUGGCAGCCAACCUUCGCCGUUCGUUCUCGACUCUCGACUCUCUUCCUCUUGCCACGCUUUUCUUUUCCCGCUUUCCCAGAGUGGAGCGUCGAACGUGGCACGAUUGAAGUGUCGGUUGGAUACCUAGGCGAGAAGGAAACUUAAAGGAUGCUCACAGCCGGCGCUUUUCCCCCGACGAGCAGUUCCCCCAUCUUGACAGUUUCCUGUUGCCCUUUUUCGCCAGCGCCUUGCAAAUUGCUCACGCUUGCCAAGUGUGUGAGUGCACUGGUGUGUGUAUGCACUGUAAUAAAAAUUUGAACUCAAAUAUUAAAGGAAAAUAUAAGAUAUAAUAAUUUUGAGGUACUCAUUGGAGGCUUACUAAAAAUUACUAAAAAUAUCUUUGCUUUAAAAAUAAUUGCUUGUAAGUUGUUGA